rnacentral:rRNA from 1 species
UACGAAGGGGGCUAGCGUUGUUCGGAAUUACUGGGCGUAAAGCGCACGCAGGUGGUCUUUCAAGUCAGUGGUGAAAGCCCGGAGCUCAACUCCGGAAAUGCCAUUGAAACUGUAAGACUUGAGGAUGAGAGAGGUGAGUGGAAUUCCCAGUGUAGAGGUGAAAUUCGUAGAUAUUGGGAAGAACACCGGUGGCGAAGGCGGCUCACUGGCUCAUAUCUGACGCUCAGGCGCGACAGCGUGGGGAUCAAACAGG